UAACAUGUCAAUAUGCAUUAUAAUGCAAUACAAAAUACUAUUCUCCCACAGGAGGUGGGAGCAACAUAACCCUUAGUAGUGCCCACCUUUACGUAGUGGGACACUACAUAUCCCAUUGCUUUGAG